CAGGAUUAGAUACCCUGGUAGUCCACGCUGUAAACGAUGUCGACUUGGAGGUUGUGCCCUUGAGGCGUGGCUUCCGGAGCUAACGCGUUAAGUCGACCGCCUGGGGAGUACGGCCGCAAGGUUAAAACUCAAAUGAAUUGACGGGGGCCCGCACAAGCGGUGGAGCAUGUGGUUUAAUUCGAUGCAACGCGAAGAACCUUACCUACUCUUGACAUCCACGGAAUUCGCCAGAGAUGGCUUAGUGCCUUCGGGAACCGUGAGACAGGUGCUGCAUGGCUGUCGUCAGCUCGUGUUGUGAAAUGUUGGGUUAAGUCCCGCAACGAGCGCAACCCUUAUCCUUUGUUGCCAGCACGUAAUGGUGGGAACUCAAAGGAGACUGCCGGUGAUAAACCGGAGGAAGGUGGGGAUGACGUCAAGUCAUCAUGGCCCUUACGAGUAGGGCUACACACGUGCUACAAUGGCAUAUACAAAGAGAAGCGAACUCGCGAGAGCAAGCGGACCUCAUAAAGUAUGUCGUAGUCCGGAUUGGAGUCUGCAACUCGACUCCAUGAAGUCGGAAUCGCUAGUAAUCGUAGAUCAGAAUGCUACGGUGAAUACGUUCCCGGGCCUUGUACACACCGCCCGUCACACCAUGGGAGUGGGUUGCAAAAGAAGUAGGUAGCUUAACCUUCGGGAGGGCGCUUACCACUUUGUGAUUCAUGACUGGGGUGAAAGUCGUAACAAGGUAACC
rnacentral:rRNA from 1 species